GUCCGGACUCGCUCGCGGCGGCGGGAACUGCGAGGGUUAGCGGUUAGAACCAAAACAGGUCGUGCGUCGCUAGGGAGACUCGAAGCGGAAGGGAGCCUCCGACACGCACCGAGAAGAUCGACGGGGGCGGGGUUCUCGAACUCGCGGGCAGGAGCCUCGGAUGGGACCUAAGGGGACAGGUGGGACCAAGGAUCCUAGAGAUCCUGUGGGAUCUGGGAAUGGGGCAGGGAAAAUCAGAGCGAAGCCACUGAAGUGCGACUGUGACCGCCGCUUGAAGACCUACUACACCCCGUACGUGGUACCCUGGCAUCCCGCAAGAAUCGUCCCUGGGCCUUCGUCCAGUUUUGAGAGCUGGCCCUGGCCACUGACACCCACCUCCGUAGACCUUGAAAAUAAGUAGGGAGAGGAGCAGGGACAUGAUUUUGUGAAGCAGGGUGUCUACUGGUGGUCACUAGAAAUGAUGGCCGGUUUUUAACCUAGACCCCAGGGUCAAGUUCAGGCUCUGCCACCUCUUAGGCAUACCAGAUGUGUCUUGUGCUUGCAUUGUCUGUUUCCACGUUUGUUUAAAAAGAAAAAGGUCUAGUAAAAGACAAGUGCAGGUAGGUAAAGUACUGUGUCGAGCAUCCAAGAUGUGGUCAACAACUUGUGUGGUUCCUCGCCAGAUUGUCUUAACCUGGGGUGCUAUGCCCAGAACGGGGCCUGGAGAGGUCCAGAAUCGGAAGCAUGAACUGACCACAGGAGUAGUGUUGUAGCCGGUCCACAUCUGCUUCCAUCACAAAAACAUGUCCUUUGGACCAGCUAGCCACUCAAUGAAUUCUUCAGCCUGCCUAAAAGGUGGGCACCAGGCAGUGCCUACGGGUGCACUUGUUGGCAAGUAAGUAGAGAUCAUCACUCUUGGAACACCUACCAGGAUGUCAAGCUUCACAUACAAGUAUGUGCACAAGGACAAAUGUGUCUGUUUCUAGGUAUCACACUACCCCAGAACUUAGUAACUUAAAGUCAUGGUUUGUAAGUCUGAUGAAUAGCAGCUUUUAUGCAGUGUUCAGCUGGUUUGGUUCAUCUCUGCUUCAUAGAUGACCUCACUCCCUUAUGUCAUGUGUUACCUACUGUUAGUAAGCUAGCUCUCGUUGCUUCUCAUAAUGGCUGUGGUUUGGCCACAAGAGAGCAAGUUCCAGCCUUUUCAUCCCCUGUGCACAUCACCUGUGUUCCUGUGACUCAUUGACUGAAUUGAAGAUGCUGAUCUGACACAAGUACAUAUGAGAGACAGAGAUCUGGACAAAGGAAGUAUGCUCAUCUGAGAUGGUCGCUUUGAUAGAUCUUUGGUUCAUUGUGGAUUGUUACAGCAAAAACAGAACUCUGCGGUCUCAACCAGGAUUAAGUGGAAUGACCUUCUUUCUCUGCUGUGUACACUGCCAAAAAAACUAGCUUGAAGUGAAGAUAACAGAGCACAUAAACAGAAGCUAGAAAAUGACAUUUUGACAGCCUCCAGGUAUCUGUCUGGUGGUGUCAUAUGCAUGGAUGGGUUAAUUGGCUAGAAAGAUAUCUUCAUCUUCAUAGUCUGGAAGUAGAACAGGUCAGGAUGCCAGAAAAUAGCAUAACUGGGAGGCAGUUCAAUGUAAGGAGCAGGUAUGUUGGACUUGAACUUUGCAAACCCACUAUGACACAUAGCUGUGAAACUGGACAGAUCAUUCCAUCUAUAGGAAAGAUGUUGAUCCACCUGAAAUCUGGUCCAUCACUGGUGACCAGAAAGACUUGAUGGCGGAGUCUUAGGAAUCAUAACACAUACAAAUGUGAAUUGGGAUAUAUAUAUAUAUAUAUCAGUAGUUCAGGAGUCGCCACACAAACCACAUGAACACCGAUUCAGUCAGGUUGGUUUAUUGAACACACACCUAAAGACUGAUCGACCAGGGCAACAGCUCAGGCUUGAAAGCUAAAAAGCUGUGAGCUGGACAUUUCUCAGGGCCAGCUUACAAAGGCUAAGCCCACAAAAACCACAAUGAGCUCAUACACAGGUGCUGGAAGUGCUUGCCUGGUGGUCAGCCCUGACUCAAGCCAUUUUAGACAUAACAGCUCAUAUUGAACUUUAAUUUGAUGGGUCCUAAGUGAAGCUUAUGGCUGUGGAAUUUCUUAAAAUUAACAAGCCUCAUAACAUACAAAACAUAACAGGGUAUGUGGUCUGGUCAGUAUGACCCUGCUCUGAGUCAAAUUAUUUUUUUGCAUCAAUGACUACCAGGGAUAUUACAGCAACAAUAUGAAAUAGCUGGCAAGCAUGGAGCAAAAUGGCUAUAGCUAUGCUGGGGGCAAGUCUCAACAAUAUCCGUGUGUGUGUGUGUGUGUAUGGCUAUAUAGUUUAUUGAAGGAAAUAGGAGGCCUGUGGUAUUUGAGCGGUUCCUUUAGCAUGAGUGAAGAUGGUAGUGAGGGUGCCCAAGAUGGAGGAAAGAGUAUUUUCACCUCAGGAAUUAGAACUGCUGCCAGUGUUCCUGUGGAGUUAUACUGACUACCUCCCUUGACUCUUACACCCUCCCUCAAAUACCAGGAGGUGAAAUAAAUUGGAUGAUUAAAUC